UUUCAGGGUGAUAGUAUUAAGAAUAUUAGUAAUAACUGUCUUCAAUUCCUACAUCUUUUGCCUGAGAUAAAGCGUUUGAUGUCAGAAGGCUUUUAUCCUUUUUGACAGUUUCAAACACCUUGGACUCAAAAAGAAUAUUUCAGAUCUCUUAAUACACUAACUGAAUAGCAUCCAUAUAUAAACAGUGUUCACCAUUCGCCAGAUAUUUCUAUUAUCUUCCUCACUUAUUCAGUCUUGUCUGUGAUUAAUGGAGUUGGUGUCAGAUGCUGGAAUUUAUUCUGACCAAUGAACACAAUGAACACAGCUGACUCAGGGGAGUAGGAUCUCCUGCCAAGUAAUAGAACAAAACCCAAUAUGCAUAAAACUAAUCGGAGGCUCCAGGCUUCAGCUGAGGGAAGCAACUACCUGUGUAAUAACAAAGCAGCAGAAGCUGUAUCAUGGCGGUGUAGGCUGUGCAUUGUAUCUAAUCUCUCAGGGUAGCUUACUGGUUUGUCUGUUCCAAAAGCGAGAUUGGGAAUGUUCCUUAAAAUGAGUCAUAUGACAUAAUGGCUUGAUGAAUGGUUUGAACAAUACCAAGACAUUGUUUACUUAAAUUAUUUUUGUUUGAAGUAGAUGUGAAAUACUGUCCUUGCCUAAAUAUUUCAGGGUUGGUGCUAAUUAUUAGUUGUUAACAAGACAUCUUGUUAAAUCAACUUUCGAAGAGACAGUGCUUUUGCAUCUGAACAGUAAGGUAGUUGUCAAACAGGUGUGCUAGAAAGUCAGUGGUUGAUGUUCCUACAGUUCAAAGAGCUAUACAAAUGAUGUAAAAC
rnacentral:lncRNA from 1 species